GAUGAACGCUGGCGGCGUGCCUAAUACAUGCAAGUCGAGCGAACGGACGAGAAGCUUGCUUCUCUGAUGUUAGCGGCGGACGGGUGAGUAACACGUGGAUAACCUACCUAUAAGACUGGGAUAACUUCGGGAAACCGGAGCUAAUACCGGAUGAUAUUUUGAACCGCAUGGUUCAAAAGUGAAAGACGGUCUUGCUGUCACUUAUAGAUGGAUCCGCGCUGCAUUAGCUAGUUGGUAAGGUAACGGCUUACCAAGGCAACGAUGCAUAGCCGACCUGAGAGGGUGAUCGGCCACACUGGGACUGAGACACGGUCCAGACUCCUACGGGAGGCAGCAGUAGGGAAUCUUCCGCAAUGGGCGAAAGCCUGACGGAGCAACGCCGCGUGAGUGAUGAAGGUCUUCGGAACGUAAAACUCUGUUAUUAGGGAAGAACAUAUGUGUAAGUAACUGUGCACAUCUUGACGGUACCUAAUCAGAAAGCCACGGCUAACUACGUG
rnacentral:rRNA from 1 species